AUACAGCUUCUUCCUACAUCUUCUUUCAGAACCAUCUCUCUAGGAAAUGUCCAUGCGUCUUAAUGGGCUUAAUUUUGCUGUGUGCUCCAUCACAUUUUGCAUUUUCUAGUCUGAGACAGAGACUGAACAUAAACUAGCUGCAGUUAUAAUGGUAUGUGAUUCUGGCCUACAGUGCGCACAAGUUUAGAUGCAGUUUAGUGUCUGUGUCUUGCUUAAAGUUACAAAAGAUAUUGUGAACCCUCAGAAUAAAAGCUGAUAUAUGAUUUUAUUCUUUAUGCAGACCUCUUUCUACUUUUGCUGUGGCAUCAGGGUUUUAAAGUGAAUACACUCCUCUGCAAGUGCUGCAGAAUGAAGACUCUGAAGUGAUUCAGUUCCCUAUUGCAGAUUAAAAAAAAAAAAUUCACCGUUCUACACCCUUGCAGUAUCUCUGAGCACCUUCAAUGUAGGAACCCCAUUAUUCAAAAUAAAAAUAUCCAUAGCCACCCUCUAAGGCUCCUGGGGACACAGAACACAGCACAUUGUAACUACAGCAAUAGACUCAACUGCGAAAGAUCUCUAUCAGGCAUCACAGAGAAUCUGAGGCAGCUGGCAGUUAUCAGCUGAAGCAGGUAGUCAGUAGACGUGUAGAAGAGAAAUAGAUAAUAGAAAAGCAAUCUGGAAACCUUGGAAAGAUUAUAAACCUCCCUUCUAGAAGGGAAGUAAGAACUCAGAUCUUUGAUUGAAAAUGACUGUGGACAAUUCACUAAUGGUGGCAGAAAUGACAAGAGAAUUUGCAGCUGGCAGGUUUACAAAACAAAAUCAAAAACCCCAAAGAACAAGCAAAGUAUGUGGAUGUACUUAUGAGCACUGUACCAAAAUGUUUUUGAAGUUUACUCGGAGCAGUUGCAGAAGGAUCUAGUGACGGGUUCAUAAAAUGGCAGAUGAAAUUCAGUACCAAUAACUACAAAGUAAUGCACAUGGAAAGAAAAACAGUCGUAAUUAUACAAGCACACUGGCAUGCUUCAGUGUGACUAUUUCCAUUUGGAAAGAGAUCUUGUGGGCUUUUUGGUUAGUUCUCUGACAGCCUGAACUUGAUGCUCAGUAGCAGUUAUAAAACAGUUGCACUAAUAUAAAUUAUUAGGAAAAGAAUGAAGAGCAAAACAGAAAACAUAAUUAUACCAUUGUAUAAAACUGAAGUGCUGGCAAAGCUUAAAUAUUUCGUGAAUUUCUGGAAAUUCAAACACUCAAACCCCCUUAAACCUGGAGAAAGUACGGAGAGGGAUGUGUACUAUGAUGAGAGAGAGAUGACAGUAUGACGGCGCGGACAGCAGCCUUCCAAGCUUCCUUACCUUACUGGACUUCAACACUGACCAGAAGAAAUCACCUGCAAAGAUAAAAAGUUGAUCUGUUUUCACAUUACUUCUGUGACUGCUAACAUGUCAUACACUUUUGGCCAUUAUUUUAUGAGAUGAACUUCUAUCCUAGGAGAAGUAAACCUGAUAACAGUUCAUACAAAAAAAAGCCUGAAAAACAGUAAGAGUUAGGAAUACAAAACUAUUUCUAGCCCUCAUUUUAAUAGCAAUGGAGAGAUGAGAGCCUGCACAUUGCGCACAUUGCAUUUACUACAGACCUUUUACCAUGUCUUCUUAUUUCAAAGAAGCUCUACCAUUUCAGUAGAUAUUAAUAAUCACAAUGGAAAACAUACUUUCAGUGAAAUGUGAUGGUUUGAACAGAAUGUGAAGAUUUGAAGUAGUAAUAACGGCUAACAGGUCAUGAGUUAAAGUAGUUUCUGCUACAGUUUUCUUACAAAUUAUGGUAUUUUUUUCCUACUUUUGAAAAAAAGCAGUGUUAAAAUAUGAGUGUUAAUUUGGUUGUAAAAAUUGUAAUUAAAGUUCAAAAUCAGUUUUAGAAAGUGUCAGUUAUAGCUAGAAUAUCGGAUUAUAUAUGCAGGUAGGAUUUUGCAAUAUGGUUUCAUCAGUUUAAGGCUAUAGUAUUUACUAAGAAAUUGGUUUCUGGUACAUAAUGUGUUCAUGAUGCUACUGAUCAUCUGUAAUUACAUAAAAAUUUUUCUUUAGACACCUCAUGGCCUUCCUGUUGAGUUUUGAAGUGGCUUAAUGAAAUUAUUGUUGACCUUAGAGUGCUUAAUAGUUUGGAACCUUUUGAUAUUAAUCAUUUAAUCAAUUAAUCAAUUAAACAUAUUCCUAAAGGAUGAAGCAAAAGUGAGAGGUGUUCCUCUGUCAGCCAUUUGUCAGUUAUAAAUAUCACCUUAUAACAUUUUGACAGAGAUGCAUCUUUUCUCAUAUUUCCUUAUCACAUGUUUUUAAUUUUGACCUUUUUUAGCUUAGCAUUACCAUGUAUCUUAAACUGAAUUUGUGAAACUGAUGUGAAGUGAGGUAUAUAAAUAUACCUUUAAUGGCAUAUUAAUGCGCAAUACGGUAAGGUUAUGAGCCUGAACCUUUCAUUUUCAGUAGGAAAGGUCCCAAUCAAAAAUAUAGGAAUUUGAUCAGACUGAGUUAAACCACAGGAGGGAGGGUUGUUAAAGGAGGAAAAUAAAAGUAUCAAGAGUGAGUGUGGGCUAAGAUAUGGAGGAAUAUUCAGUAGAAUUAAUGAACAUAAUCCUUUUUAUUUCUAAGUAGUGAAUAUAACACUUAUUUUGUUCCAAGCCAUGAUUCUUUUCUUUAUCUAGUUAGAAUUAGGGAAAAUAUGCUGUGAUUUGUAGUACACAGAAAAGAAGUUAUGUUUGUGCCAGAAUCAGAAAUAGGAAAUAUGUGGUAAUUUCAUUCUUGGAGUAUCCCUUCUGUUAUGGCAACCACUCCAUUUGUUUUUUAUUAAGCUAGAAAGAUUAUCUUUCAUCUUAACAAAUGCCUCUCUCCUUUAUUUGCUAAUGAGAAAAAAUGCUUUCCACAGCAAAGAUAGUUGUAUAUUUUGUCAGUUGAAGCUUGCCCUAUUUAACGUAAUUCUUUUCUAGACUUUUCUGUGCUCAGGUAAUUACAGAAUAUAAUUGGCAUUUCUGUGAUUUUUUGUGAUAUUAUUAAUUUGGUGGUAGCAUAUACAAGGGACGUCAGCUCUAGAGUUAUCUAGAGGAAGCAAAAAUGCUUUUUUGUCUCCUGGUUGCUGCUGGGAGUGAGUAAACUCUCAUGAAUGUAGAACUAAAUUUUUGGGCAGACAGUAGAGUAGGAGAGGAUCCUUCUGAGGGAAAGUUUAUUGUAAAGUUGAAAUGAAUCAAAAUACUUAAAAAUAACAUACAUUUCAGAUUUUUCCUAUUGAAAAUGUUUUUCCUUUCCAAAGUGAGACCUGUCCAUCCUCCUCUAACUAAUAUUUUUUGAAACUGACUGCUACUUUUCUCAAGUGGAUACCCAAACAUGAGACAGCUGCACAGUCAAAAAAAGUCUGUCUCAAAUUCUCUUGCUGCAAGUGUAUCAUUUUCCAUAUAUAAAUAUUAACUGAAGAAAAGAGUUGGAUCUGGGUCUCUCAUGUCACAAAGGAGUGAGUUCUGGUUACAGAAUAAUCUCUUGGUUUCCCCCUCUCUACUACAAAAGAGGAGUAACUGCAUAGAAAGAUUGGUGUUUAAAAUAAUCACAUGGCAUGUAGAAAGGGCAGGCUAGACUUUGCACUGAGUGAAGAAAAUCAGGGAUUUUGAAACAUGCCCUUUGUAUAUUAGGUGACUUGCCUACCUACUGGGACUUGCCUAUUCUGGAGUGACAUAUAUACCUUUCCAUGCAAACACUGAAAUGUGCCUCCUAGGAAUAUGUUGAAUGGGGAUUUUUCUGUUGGUUUUUUUUUACAGUUUUAACAUGGAGUCAAGACUUUUCCCAUUCCCAUCUUCAGCAUGCACUUAUGUGCAAACACACGUGCGCUUUUAGCGCGUCAUAGCACUAAAAGAAAAAGGACCUGCUUUUUGGAUUUUGUGGUUGUGUUUUGGAGAUGAGUUUGCAUAAGUGCUUUAUGCCCAUGCACAGGAAAGACCACAGCUAAUACUUUAGUAUGUACAAAACAUAACAAAUUUAACAAAAAUACUCAUUAAUAUUUGGCAAAUUUUAUCAGCAAAAGCAGUCUUAACAUCUGACUGCCAUUUAAGCUGGCCAAGUAUCUGUGCCUUUCAAAGUACAGCCUAUGCCGAAAUACAGCUGUAGUCUAUUUUCUG